AGUUACGGGCUGAACCAUUAGCGCCCGCAGCCGGGGGCUAUAGGGUUCAUUACUUUUUAAAAAAAUCCCGAUAUAUUACUUUACUCUCACAUAUCGGAAGAAUAAGAAGUCUUGGGGUUGAGAUAAAACUGUGAUGUACGUGGAUAUUGGUAUAAAAGUGCAGAUUUUCUGUAACGUCAACAUGGUACGGUCUCACUAGCAGGUUCAUCGCUCAAGUUCCCAACGAGAAAUAGUAGUCCUGUAUCUCCAACGGAGAGUUCGCCACUGACUUAGUUUGGAAAUGUAGUCAAACAUUGUGAACAGCGUGCAGUUGGUUACUAGGUCACUCAUUGAACAUCGGGGACAGCUACCAGGUACAUGGGUCUCAUCCGUCUAUGUUUACCCGGUUCUGCAAUACCAUAGUUAAUCGACUAGUUACAAUACUGCAUAUAUGCUUGGUGUUAAGGUUGUGGUUAAUCUUUGAUGUCCAAAAAUCAGUUGCGAUAAAGAAGUUGUACAGAUAUAUUUGUUAAUGUGUGUAUAGACUAAUGAUUAUUUCUCCAUAUAGGCCUAUUUGCGUCUACAUAUGAAUUUUAAGUAGAGGUUGGCAAGCAAAGGAAGUCAAUGGAUCGCAGUCUUAAUAAUGCAGAAGGUCCAUCUUCUGCUUACGAUUUUAAUUAUGCAAUAACUAUCGCUUCUUAUUAUAUGGGCGCAAAAAUAUUGUCCAUCGCCUUGGUAAAGAAACGAUAAAAAUCUACAUUGGAGAAAACGAGCUGCCUGUCUGAUUUAGUGAGAGGUGGGGUAUUGCUGAAUGGGGUGCCACGCAGUAAGUUAUUGCUUACUUUAAUGUCAUUAUUAUUUGCAAUGGUGUAUCCUCAGAAUCCCCCUUCUGUGCCGAUCUGGGCGUCUGCCAAGUCUACGUGUUUGACUGAUCCGGAGUUCCCGUUUUGCCAGCUUUGCUUUGGCCCGUAAUGCGGUCUCUGUCUGUCUCGGUCCAGCUCUUAAUGCCUGAUGGAGCGUUCCCUUUUCUAAUACAGACUCCAUCCAAAGUUUUGCUAAAAACAAUACGGCAUUGCCAGUGAGAUCCCCAGACUCAGUCUGCCUGCGGGAUUCAAGUCGUUUAUACACAUUUUUAGAGCAGGGGAGAGCAGUGAAUUGGUUCAUUGUUCUUUCCCUGCUGUUACAGUAAAAACAAGGUUUCAGAAGUCAGCAAUACUUAUUAUUUUGAGUAUUAUGAUCUUGGAGAAGAAAAGCGUUUUUUCGUUAGAAUGAAUACAGAAAAGAUGUUAACAAAAAGAAAAUGGGUUCAAAUUCUAUGAACAUAAUGAAAAGCUCGGCUGAGCUAUUUAUUAUCAAAAUAACCGCCUACCAUGCUAGUGCCCGCAUAAAUGGCGCCUUCAAAUAAAAAAGUGCCGGACAGAGACGCGUGUUGCGCUAUUCCUUAGUGAACAGCUGUGCUCUGUACCGACAAAGCAGCUGACGAAUGCUGGCUGUGAUUUCGGCUAAAUAAACUGUUUAAACGUUUAGAUCUAUCGGCAGGGUUUCCUGUGCGGAAUUCGACGUAGCCGCCCGUGUUUCACUGCUGUGGUCCAAAAGAAUUUUUACUUCGAGCAAUUGGCAGCCUUGUAACAACUCAUUUCCAAAAUAAAUUACGCAACUGAAUGGCAUAAUCUGUGGCUCCAAAACGGUUGUUUCCUUAUGUAGUGUAAGGAAAAUGUUUUCAACUAAAUUUCAUUAAUAAUUACUAGCCUUUGGGUGGUAGCUGGUAGUGGAAUGGUCCCAAAAUUUAUAUUAUAUGAAUAUCUUCAUGUGUUGUGUGCACUGAUACUGUGUAAGUGGUGAUGGAUGGAUGGAUGGAUGGAUGGUGGAAGGAUGGAUGAGAAAUGCAGAAGGAAAGAAGGAAAGGAUCACAGACACUUCUGGUAGCGUUACUGAUCUCAGUAGUAAGAAUAACUUACAUUAUACACUGAAGCUUUGGCGUUCAGAAAAAACAGUUCUACUGUGGUGUUUUCUUUCAGAAAUGAAAAGUUCUCAAUAUAGAACCUGGGAAUUCAAACACAGGAAAUAAACAUGAAACAAUAUUUACAUAUAAAUAACUGCACAAAUGAUAGGUUUGAUUUCUGCAAAUGUUUGGAGCACAACUUGACUACACCCAAUUGAUAAUGGUCUACACCUUUACCUUUGUGAUAUAUUUACUUAUAUGGUGUGGCUUCUAGGGCCAGAUGAUAUGGAGCUGUUGGGACUGAUGCCCCCUGCUGGAUAUCAGGCAGUAAGGCGCAAGCCUGCCACACCCAUAUCCCACACUGCUGUUACUCGGUCAACUUCUUUUGCUGCUUUUACACUCUAAGCAAGCGAGAGGACCACGCGCAGGACAAACCCUGGCGGAUAUGAAGAAUCACUGUAGUCUGUAUUCUUCUUAAACCAGAUUGCAUGUACGUCAUGUGGAAGUUCUGACCUGACCAGGAAUUUCAGGGAGAUUGGUCCUGUCCUCUUGGAGAAGUCGUGGUCUAGCACUCUGCGGUCCAGCUGCAGCCACUUGCACUGCCCCCUGGGAAAUGAGGCACAUGACAUUUGUCACUUUUUUUUGUCACUUUGUAUCACUUUGUUUUCUUUGCUCUUUUCAUGAUGUUGUUAGGAUUCGUUGAAAAUAUGAGUUUGACCCCUGAUUAUUAAUUUACAUAAAGCCUUUUGUGCCGUAAUCAUUUUGUACUUUGUUUUCCAAGGUGUAAUACUAUUAAAAUUGAAUUUUCAUAUAUAUUUUUAAUAUUACACUUAAUUUUUAAUAUUUAAUUUUGUAAGAAAUGGUACAAGAGAUAAUAGCAUAGAAACGUAAUUAUCCCAGUAGGACCGUGUGUAUUUAAAACAAUAUACUGGCAGAACAAUUUUCUUAAACUGCUCCCUCCCGUACCGUGUCACGGGCAGUUUAGUGGUUAGCACUGUGGCCUUGCCCCUCCCGGGGGUGGGGGUUUGAAUCCAAAUCUGCUAUAGUGUGUGUCUGUACGUGUAUGUUUAUUUGUUUGCGCAUGUCCUGUGAUGGACCGGCAUCCCGUCCAGGGUGUACCCCAGCCCCGUGCCCCGUGAUGGACCGGCAUCCCGUCCAGGGUGUACCCCAGCCCCGUGCCCCGUGAUGGACUGGCCUCCCGUCCAGGGUGUACCCCAGCCCCGUGCCCCGUGAUGGACCGGCAUCCCGUCCAGGGUGUACCCCAGCCACGUGCCCUGUGAUGGACCGGCAUCCCGUCCAGCGUGUACCCCAGCCCCGUGCCCUAUGAUGGACUGGCCUCCCGUCCAGGGUGUACCCCAGCCCCGUGCCCUGUGAUGGACUGGCCUCCCGUCCAGGGUGUACCCCAGCCCCGUGCCCUGUGAUGGACCGGCAUCCCGUCCAGGGUGUACCCCAGCCCCGUGCCCUGUGAUGGACUGGCCUCCCGUCCAGGGUGUACCCCAGCCCCGUGCCCCGUGAUGGACCGGCAUCCCGUCCAGGGUGUACCCCAGCCCCGUACCCCGUGAUGGACCGGCACCCCGUCCAGGGUGUACCCCAGCCCCGUGCCCCGUGAUGGACCGGCAUCCCGUCCAGGGUGUACCCCAGCCCCGUGCCCUGUGAUGGUCCGGCACCCCGUCCAGGGUGUACCCCAGCUCCGUGCCCCGUGAUGGACCGGCAUCCCGUCCAGGGUGUACCCCAGCCCCGUGGCCCGUGAUGGACCGGCAUCCCAUCCAGGGUGUACCCCAGCCCCGUGGCCCGUGAUGGACCGGCAUCCCGUCCAGGGUGUACCCCAGCCCCGUGCCCCGUGAUGGACCGGCAUCCCGUCCAGGGUGUACCCCAGCCCCGUGGCCCGUGAUGGACCGGCAUCCCGUCCAGGGUGUACCCCAGCCCUGUGCCCUGUGCUUGUUUGCGCAUGAAGUUGCAAGAUGGAUGGGAUUCUCUCAAGAUUACAUUUCUUUUUUUAAAACAAUCCUCCUGUUCAAUUCCAUACUCUGACCAUCAUAUAGAUUUAAGACUGCUGUACCUUUCAUAAUGUAAGGAGGGAGUCUUUAUUUAAUCUCUGCUGGUUGAAGACAUUGACAGGAAAGAGACAGGCUCUGAUGACCCAGCCCACCUACUAACCUAGUGACCCUCACAGAGAGAGUGGACUGGAUAAGGAUGAAAGGAUGUCGGUAAACGAUCUGUCCACAUGAUGCUUGUGGUUCCUUUCACCCCGUACAACUUUCCUUGUUUUCUGGGAAGCUGACGGCUCAGUUUAUUCCCAAGUGUUAACAGAAAACAUGGAAUACAGCUGCUUCCAAAAUGAAGCACAAGGUAAACAUUCAACAAACACGAAGGCUUUUAAAAGACAAUCUGUGAUCCCCCCCCCAUCCCAUACAUACACACACAUGUGUAUACAUACGUGUACUUACGUGUCACCUGUGUAGGUGAUUCCAAAGUACUCCUUCUCCUUAAGGUUAAAGUGGGAAGAUACUAAGUCCAGGAGUUCCCUGGACAGGAGCUUUGGCUGUUGGACAAAGGAGUCAGUACAGGGAUUUAGAUAUCCAUCCAUCCAUCCAUCAUCCACCGCUUAUCCGAGGGAUUCAGAUAGAUCCCUGGAAUUAAAUACCUUACUGAUUAAAAAAGACCAGCUAAAUCGAAAUACAUGGGUUAAAAAUAUAACAUUACAUACAUGAGGCUGAUGAUACUUUCAAGGCUGACAUUCUGUAUCGUUUCAUUCCUGAUCAUCACUCAAUGCUGACGUCCUUCCAAUGAUACCCUGCUAUGGUCAGGCUGCCAUGAUACUGCUCAGGCUGCUUCCCCAGCACCCGCAACCACAGGCAGCGGCUGAAGUCAUUUUGAUGACUUUUGCAUUUUGGGAUGUAACAUUUUCAUGCUCCAGAGCUACCACUGAAAGUAAUGUGAAGUGUGUAUGAUCUAUUAUCUCUAUAUCUAUUAAUUUUUAUGUGAGGGACUGUGUAGUGUGUAUGUGAUCUAUUAUAUUUAGGUCCUUUCCAUUAUAAUAAAUACUUGGCCAGAAUAUGAUGCA